rnacentral:lncRNA from 1 species
UUAAUGUUACUGCUCAUACUCCAAAUUAUAGAAUGCUUAAGAUAAUUAAAUUAUCUGACUUUUAUAAUUCACUACACGGUGACCUCAAAUUUACCUCAUUAGAAUAUUUAGUACUUCUGCACUUCUCCCACUUCUCAAAGUUUUCCCAUACCAGGAUUCCCCACCACCUAGGAACAGCCUUUGCAAGAUACCAAUGCUCUCUAAAUCCCCAAAGCAGGGUCUAUUUCCUGAUCGAACAAAGAGCAACAAAGAAGUGGGUGGUAACCACCUCUCUGAGGCAAGCCAGGACCCAUGGAGUCUGAUCUACAACACAAGCAGUAGCAGUUCCACAUCUCCCUACCACCUCUUAUUUCCUACGAAGUCUUUCUGCCUGAAACUGGAAAACCCGAACUAUUAUUGAGGAAGUGAAGCCCUUCCAUUUGAAUCCUGAGAAAGACGCGCUCAAAGAACCCAGCGAACAAAGGAGAGGGUUGGAGCCCACGCAAAACAUGGGUGUGAUAAAGCCACACGCGACCUGAGCCCCCACCCUCAGUAACUACUCUCCAGCGCCCACCGGGAGGAGGGGUCCGGGGAAAGGAUUGGCAUCCUCUGCUUCUGCAGAAAACAUGGCUACCAACAGCUUCUGUAUCCACCUGCGGAGGAGACUGACUGCUCUGUUAUUCCCCCAGCAUCUGUGAAGAGGCUCUGACUGGCUAAAGUGUUGGUAUAGUGAUCACCCCAGGGUUAGGCAACCAUGGCUGGUGAAAAGGAAAAACGUUAUGAACCUGGCUGUGCGGAGCUACCUGAGGAAGCUUGUAGGAGAAGGGUCAGUUUGCAGAGAAAGGGGGGCCUGGGCAGAUGACGCAAGAGGUGCCCAUUACAUCCCUCUAGAGGAAGGAGUCUGUAGCUUUAGGGGAAGACAGAGCCACAAGAUGGAAGGAGCUUGGAUGUCUGAACUAUUCCAUGGAGAAAAGCUGCAGCCAACGAAGAACACCUGCAAUGGACUCUUAACCUGGGGGUGACGACAACCACUGAAAUAUGCUGCAUCUUAGUCCAGGGAUUUUUAAAGUGUGGUUCCUGGAAGAGCUGGAUCAGAGUCAUCUGUGUUGAUGGUUUAACAUAAAGAUUUUCGAGCCCCAAGACUCAAGUAGGACAAGGAAUUUGAAUUUUUAAGCAGCUCACCUGACUUGUCUGUCCUCUAAUGUCUGAAGACAUCUGACCUCUGCUCUUUCAGUAAAAGCAACAAUGGUUUUAUGAGCAUUGUCGUCACAUCUCUCCACUCAAGGGAUCCUUCUCAUUUCUCCCAGCUGAGGUCACCCACAGCUGCUGCUUCUAACUGCUGGCUUCCAGCCUGCUGUCUGCCAGCUGGCUCUACCCUCUCCUAUAACACGGCAGAGAGUAGCUGUGGUCUCCUGCGUGCUCACCCUCUGCUCCCUUGGUCCUGCUCCAUGCUUUGGUCCUGCACUUAAAUUUUACAAGCAUACUCUCUUUCUCUUAAGUAACUGCCUGAAAAGCCAAGAAGUAGAGUGACGGGGUGGUGUUGAAGGUGGCA